UAAUUUUCUAAGUUUUUGAAUUUUGAAUUUUUUGAAUUUUGAAUUUCCACGUGGACCCUUAAUGACACGUGGCGCCCAGUCAUUGUCCACAUGGGCGCCAUGUCAUCAGUUAACAGGAGACUUAACAGCCAGACUAACGGAUGUAUGAGACUGUCCGAAAAUUAACAUUUUAGGUACUACGCUGGGACGAAAAAAACUUUAUCUACUAAAUGUUGAAAACCACGAAACUUGAGGGUAGUAAACUGAGAUUUAUCCAACAAAAUAAUUACUGCAAAUUAGUAACCUUAAAAUUGACACUUCUGUAGAACAUGCUUUCACUUCUCCCAUGAAUCAGUGAAUGAGGUUGUUGCUCCCAAAAUGCGGGUCCUAUUUUCUAUCUAGAUGCAUGUUAGACACGACAAAAAUUAACGUAUCUCCAGUCAUAUGAAGGGCUAAACAUAACCUCUCAAAAAUUAAUAUUUUAAAAACUAGUUCAAAAAUUCUUCUUGGGUGUGCAAAAUGGAAAAAAUAAAGGAUUUCAUUUCCCUCUAAAGAUCUAACAAUCAUGGAUUCCGGUGCAUACUAGAAAAAUGCCGCAAGUUGAUCAACUUUGUAAUCUUGUUUAUGAGUCAGAUCGAAAAAAUGUGUGUGAGAGAGAGAGAGAGAGAGUUCGAAAUAGUGUUUAAUAGCUCAUUUCAUCUUACAAUUAUACAAAAUAAAAAACACAAACAACGACAGUAUAUGAUGAAAACAACAGACAUGUAUGAAAGCACACUGCAUACCCAUAUGAACACUGAUUGUCACCGUGAACUGGUCCGUCAUUUAGCAACCUUCAUGCCAGAGAGAUAAACCCGACAGUGAAUCAUACUUCCACCAAUCCAAAAACUAGGCAUAACCAUAAGACCAACCUUAGGCUUUUCAUUGUUUUCGUCCAUUACCAAACAAAAAUUGGGAUAUGAGGGGUUUGUUGAAGAAGAAAACAAUGAGAACUUGAGGAUUUGGGGGAAUGAUGCGGGAGCAAGCAUACGACCUUGGAAAUUGCUCACAUGCAUUGGAAUUGGAAUAAUAAUGGCAGUGCACUUUUAAUUAUUUAGAAAUUUGUUAAGUCCAUUUAGAACAUGGUGAGUCUUUUAGAGUAUCUCCAAAUGAGAUGUUAAAUAUGAUAUGUCAAAAUAUUACUUGACGGCUGAUGUGACAAAUUGAAUACAAGUGCUAAAUCCUCUUCUUUUUCAAUGGAUGUGUCAAAUGUUUAUUUUAUUGGGCUUAGAGGUAUGACUCUAGGAUUAAAAAAACUUCAUGUACCAAAUGUUGAAAACCAUGAAAUAUUAAGGUAGUAAACUGAGAUUAACCAUGUCACAUCCU
rnacentral:lncRNA from 1 species